UGUCACAAAAUGUGUCCAGGUCAUAUUUCACUCCAAAGAAAUAAUCAAUAUAAUACGUCACAGGAUUAUAAGACAAUUGUGCCCGUUUUCAGCACUAUGAAGAUUUUAUUGCAUUAUUUGCAUUACAGUUACCCCCAAAAUUGAAAAAAAAAGCAUGCGAUUUUUAGUAGUUAUUUAAAUUUAUACUGAUUAAUUUGUACUUAAAAAAGAAAAAGAAAAAAAUUGAGAGAGACCGCUAGUCAUAUAACACAUGCACAUCUUUAAGAUCAUUCUUUACAUCUAGGGAGAACUUUAUUGUUGUUGGGGGAAAUUCUGCAUAGUCCCUUAAAUAAGCCAGAUACAUCUAGACUCAAUGUGCACAUGCUUUUUAACAGUUUCGGUUUUAGUAAAUGGCAAUAAUCCGAUAUUUAAAUUCUUACAGGUGCCUUAAAACAAGCAAAUCUAGGUCACUGACCAUUAAAUAGCUAACACAAAGCCAUAAAGCAAUGCAGUCCCGUACAUAUUACUUGAAUGUUCAGAUAUUAAUGCCAAAGGAGGAAAUGGUGAACCUGUAUCUUUCUUAAAGCAGUGCUUGCAGCCAUAUGAAGAUGUUACCGUGAGAGUUGUGCAUCUGAAUGUGCAGAAAGUUUUGUUCAUGUAUGUCUGUGUAUCUAAUACUCUGAAGGUCUUUCCCCAGACAGAGAGCCCAGAACUUUAGAUGGAUCUGCUCUUAUGUGCUCCACUGCAUGGUUUUGUGGAUUUCUUCAACUUUAAAGACAACAUUACAUAAAUACAGAAAAUAGGCAUUUUUUUUAUAAAACAGAAAAGCAAUUACGUACAUAUUUUAAUAUGCUAAAUGUAUAUUGAUAUUAUUAUGAUUAUUGUUGACAUUACUGUAUGGGAAAUGUUACCCAAUAAGUUGUAUCUCUGCACUGAUAUCUUAUUAAAGCGUAUCAAUCUUC